rnacentral:rRNA from 1 species
ACUCCUACGGGAGGCAGCAGUGGGGAAUAUUGCACAAUGGGCGCAAGCCUGAUGCAGCCAUGCCGCGUGUGUGAAGAAGGCCUUCGGGUUGUAAAGCACUUUCAGUAGGGAGGAAGGUGGUAGUGUUAAUAGCGCUANCAUUUGACGUUACCUACAGAAGAAGCACCGGCUAACUCCGUGCCAGCAGCCGCGGUAAUACGGAGGGUGCGAGCGUUAAUCGGAAUUACUGGGCGU